GGGAAUAUAGUUCAGUGGUAGAGUGCUUGCCUAGCUUGCUAAAAGUCCUGGGUUCAAUUCCCAGUACUGCAA
rnacentral:tRNA from 1 species